AUAUUUUGAAGAUGUAAACGAGCCGAGCCGACCCGGCUCACGAGCCUAAAGUUUCGGCUCGAGCUCGGCCCGGUUAAAAUGGCCGAGCUUUUUUGCGGGCUUUUCCUAGCCCGAGCUUUUGCUCGGGCUUUUCCCGGGCCGAGCCGGGUAGGCUCGUUUUCUCUUUUUAUUUUAUUUUAUUAUAAUAUAUAUAUAUUCCCUAAGCUGCUGCCUUAAAAGGUAGCGAGCAACAGCCUUUAAAAGGCAGCCCAAAUUUUAAUUUUUUUUAAAAGCUCGCGAGCUCACGGGUCGGCUAGGGCAAAGCCCGUGUCCCCAAAAUGGGGCUCGGCCCGAGCCGAGCCGGCGAGCUCGAUUGCCAUCCCUAUUUUGAAAUAUGCCCAUAAAUGUUUUUUAGAUUAUUUAUUUAGCAUACUUUGUUUAGAGUUUCAGAAGCAUGUCAACAUGGUGCGAGAAAAUUUGCAAAUAUGGUUCAAACCAAUGCUGGGAAUCCAGAAAAAGUCAUAUGCCCUUGCAAAUGUUGCAAAAACCGAUUUCACCAACAUUUUGAUAUAAUGUAUGGAUAUUUAAUCAUUAAUGGCAUGGAUCCUACGUAUAGUACCUAUGUAUUUCAUGGGAAAAAAUCGAAUGCAGAGAUGCAUUUUUUCAGGAUCACAAUAAUGUGGAAUCCGAAAAUGAUGAUAGAGAGAAAGAAGUUUCAAAUUUAUAUGACGACGUCGAAGUUCCUUUAUAUCCUAAUUGCACGAAGUAUACAAGGAUAUCUGCAAUCGUUGCCUUGUAUAAGCUUAAAGCUAUUCAUGGUAUAUCUGACAAAGGUUUUAAUGAACUUCUUGAUAUUAUCCGAGAUAUGCUACCACAUGUGAACACCCUUCCUGAUUCUUGCAAUUCACCGAAAAGGUUAUUGAACACCUUUGAUUUAGGCUAUGAGAAGAUACAUGCAUGUGUAAAUGAUUGUUGCUUGUUUAGAAAUGAUCUAGUUAAUUUGGAUACAUGUCCAAAAUAUGGAUCUUCACGGUGGAAAGUUAAUGAACGGACUAAGAAGAUUCAAAAAGGGAUAUUUGCAAAGGUUUUACGAUAUUUUCCAAUUAUACCACGAUUUAGAAGAAUGUUUAGGUCACUCGAUAACUAAUAUCAACUAAUAUGUCACUCAAUCAAGAUGGAAAAAUGCGUCAUCCAGUUGAUUCAUUAGCUUGGGAGAGAAUUGAUAAAAAAAAAAUGGCUUUGUUUUAUAUCAGAACCACGAAAUCUUAGUCUUGGCCUUUCCUCUGAUGGAUUUAAUCCCUUUCGUGACCUAAAUUCUAGGUAUAGUUGUUGGCCAGUGAUACUAGUUAUAUAUAAUCUCCCUCCUUGGAUAUGCAUGUCUAAGGAAAAUUUGUUGUUGACUUUAUUAAUUCCAAGUCCAAAGCAACCUGGAGAUGAUAUAGAUGUGUACCUAGAACCACUAAUAGAAGACAUAAAGGAGAUGUAGAAUAUUGGUGUUGAAGUAUAUGGUGGAUUUACUAAGUCUACCUUCAAUUUGAAGGCUGUGCUAAUGUAGAUAAUGGUUUUCCAGCUUAUGGGAAUUUAUUAGAAUAUCCUAUGAAAGGCGAAGUAGCAUGUCCAGUUUGUGGGUUACCCAUAUGUGCAAAAUGGUUGACAUGUAGUCGAAAGUUUUCAUACAUGGGUCAUAAAAGAUUUCUUGCAUAUAAUCAUCCAUAUCGACCGAAAGAAGCUUGGUUUGAUGGAAACAAGGAGCAUAGGCCUAGUCCUAAAAUAUUAACUGGGAAGUGAUGUGUUUAGUAAAAAAUGUUAGCAAUAAUUGGGGAAAAUAGGAAAAAAAAAAAAAAAAGAUGAGAAAAUCAUAUUCUAAUUGGCCAUGGAGAAAAAAGUCAAUAUUCUUUGAGCUACCAUAUUGGGAGGUUAGUCAUUUUAAACUAUUUUGAAUUAGUUAUUUCUCUGCUUAAACUUUUUUUUUCUAAAUUUAUAUUUUUAUUUUCAUAUAUUACUUUUGCGUCAUAAUUUGGAUGUAAUGCACAUUGAGAAGAAUGUUUGUGAAAUCAUUCUCGGCACUAUUUGGCAUAUGAAGGGAAAAUCAAAAGAUGAGCUAAAUUCUCAUAAGGAUUUACUCAAUAUCGGUAUUAGAAAGGAUCUUCAUCUAGAAUUGAAAGGAAAUACAUAUUACCUACCGGCAGCAUCAUAUAUGCUAUCCAAAAAAGAGAGAGUUAUUUUGUAAGAGGUUAUUUGAUUUAAAAUUACCUGAUGGUUAUAACUCUAACAUUUUAAAGUGUGUAUUAUUAGUGGAUAAUAGGAUUUUAAAUCUGAAGUCUCAUGAUUAUCAUGUGCUCAUACAACAGUUGUUAUCCGUUGCAUUAAGAGGAUUUUUAUCUAAUGGACCAAGAAAUUCAAUUUUUCGACUGUGUAUUUUUCAAUGAAAUAUGUCAAAGAGUCGCAGAUAAAAAUAAAUUAGAAAAGCUUGAGGAGGAUGUUGCCGUGAUUUUGUGUAUGCUAAAAAAGUAUCUUCCUCCAUCUUUUUUUGACAUAAUGAUUCAUUUAACCGUCCACCUUGGGCGUGAGGUUUGUAUUGGUGGAUUUGUACAAUAUCGUUGGAUGUAUCCAUUUGAAAGGUAAAUUACUAUUAUAUUUUUGUUAACUAUUCAAACUUUCGUCUUCUAAUUACUUAGAUAUCUCAUGCCUAUUAUAUGGUGAAAUAGGUUUAUGAAAACACUUAAAUUAUAUGUUAUAAAUCAUUCAAGACCUGAAGGAUGCAUCGCAGAGCGUUAUUUAGCCGAUGAAUGUAUGCAUUUUUGAAGUAGUUAUAUGAAACAAGCUGCUGAAGUAGGUGUUCGACAUACUCGAAAUGAGAAUUUUGAGAAUGAAACAAUUAUUGCUGGGCAUGCAAUCUCUAAAGGAAAUUCAAAGACCUUGAGUCAAGAAAUGUUAGAGGUCGCUCAUCGUUAUGUGCUAUUUAACAGCGUUGCAGUUGAGCCGUAUAACUGGAUAUUAAUUUUACAACUGGUUAUUAAUUUGUACAACUGGAUAUUAAUUUUAUAGUCUAGAGACAGAAGUUUGAAUGGUUUAGAUAACCUUUUAAAUAAGAAGUGCAAAUUGUUAUCAUGGUUUGGGGAGCUGAUAUUGUUGCAAAAGGUGAAAUCGUAUCAACAAAUCCAAAUGAUCUAGUGCAUCAUGUACCCCUCGAUAAUGAAUGUUGGAGAGUUUUGGUUAAUGAAAUGAUCAAUAAUGUCAGCUUAUAUCGUCCCAUGCUUGAGUUUUUUCUUUUUGAAGAUGCAUUAGAAAGUACAAUUGCAUUGCCAAGUAGGUACAUCGAAGUGGAUUCGCUAUAAUCACAAUGAAGGGGAUCCAUAUUUUGUGGGGUAGCUAAAUUGUUGGUCAAAGAAGUGAACUUUGAUAGGUUUAAUAAUUUUUUGUUUUAUGACGGAACCUCAAUAUCCACAAGCUUAUUAGUUGAAUGGUGAUUGGCGCAUACAAUAGUAGUCAAAAAAUUUUGAGAAUUGUUUAGAUGAAUUUUAUAUUAGCAUAUUGUAUUGAACCGUAUUCAGUAUUUCUUUUUAUUGAAACAAUAAAAAACUUGAUUAUAUAUGGAGUAAUUUUAUUUUGUUAA